CGUGCGUCUGUUGGCUGUAGUGUAGCUGCUACCUUCCACCUGCGAUCGCAGCCUACCUAUCUACAUGCCUGUCGUGCAGCAGCGCAAGCAUGGAUGUAGCAUGCAUGGGCGCAGGCCCCAGCUUCGUUCGUGUGCGCUUGCGUGCGUGCUGGGCAGCUGACAUAUAUGGCACAUACAGGCCGGCGGCUGGGUCUGGCGCCGACCUGCGUUGUGCGUGCGGUUCACUGCUGUCGUCUGUGUGCAGCUACUGGCUCGCUGACUUGGUGUGUGUUACGCUCCCCACCCCCGCCUGGUGUGUGACACAGCCAAGAUGGAGAAGGCGGUCGCCGAGGCGAAGGGUAAGUGCUAGCUAGGCAUGCUGCGUGCGUCUGUUGGCUGUAGUUUAGCUGCUACCUUCCACCUGCGAUCGCAGCCUACCUAUCUACAUGCCUGUCGUGCAGCAGCGCAAGCAUGGAUGUAGCAUGCAUGGGCGCAGGCCCCAGCUUCGUUCGUGUGCGCUUGCGUGCGUGCUGGGCAGCUGACAUAUAUGGCACAUACAGGCCGGCGGCUGGGUCUGGCGCCGACCUGCGUUGUGCGUGCGGCGGUUCACUGCUGUCGUCUGUGUGCAGCUACUGGCUCGCUGACUGAGCUGACUUGGUGCGUGUUACGCUCCCCACCCCCGCCUGGUGUGUGACACAGCCAAGAUGGAGAAGGCGGUCGCCGAGGCGAAGGGUAAGUGCUAUCUAGGCCUCCUGCUUGCGUCUGUUGCCUGUGGUUUAGCUGCUACCUUCUACAUGCGAUCGAAGCCCUACCUGCCUGUCAUGAUGCCGCGCGAGCAUGUAUGGAUGUAGUAUGGCAUGGGCGCAGGCCCCAGCUACCUUCUGUCAAUCCCUGUGUACGUUCCCGUGCGCUUGCUUGUGCGUGUGUCUGCGCCUGCGCGCGUGCGUGUGCAUGUAUGUGUGCUUAAGAGUGCUUUACAACCUUGCCGUCACCUCUCCUCUUUACUGAACUGGCCGAGAUAGCGUAGCAUCAAUGCUGUACUGCGCGGUAGAUGGCUGGGCUGGGGCCGACCUGCUUUGUGUGUGCAGUCAACUGCUAUCGUCUGUGUGCAGCUGCUGCUGGCUCACGGGCUUAGCUGACUUGGUGUGUUACGCUCCCUAACCCUUCCUGCCGUGUGAUACAGCC
rnacentral:lncRNA from 1 species